GACGAACGCUGGCGGCGUGCCUAAUACAUGCAAGUCGAACGAGUGGCGGACGGGUGAGUAACACGUGGGAACCUACCCAUCAGAGGGGGAUAACUACUGGAAACGGUAGCUAAUACCGCAUACCAUCAGAUGUGCCCAGAUGGGAUUAGCCGGUAGGUGGGGUAACGGCUCACCUAGGCGACGAUCCCUAGCUGGUCUGCGAGGAUGACCAGCCACACUGGAACUGAGACACGGUCCAGACUCCUACGGGAGGCAGCAGUGGGGAAUAUUGCACAAUGGGGGCAAGCCUGAUGCAGCCAUGCCGCGUGAGUGAAGAAGGCCUUCGGGUUGUAAAGCACUUUCGGCGGGGAGGCGUUACCCGCAGAAGAAGCACCGGCUAACUCCGUGCCAGCAGCCGCGGUAAUAC
rnacentral:rRNA from 1 species